AGCAGUGGAAUGGAGUCAACCAGAGUGCAUAGCUAAGCGAUGUGACCCAAGCCAUUUGGAGAAGCCCAGAAAUUGGAACAAGAAGCUGUCAUGUUGAAGUUGUCUUGGAGACCCCAAGAUGUAGGAGGUGCCAGGGUUGUGGUAUACCUGCUGAGGAAAGCUGCUAACAGCGAGUGGAACCAUCCAAAGAGAACUGUGCUGCAGUCAACAAAGCAGAAAGGAGUUGGACAUUAGACAUGGAGGCGAUGAGUUUGGAGUUUGUCCAGCUGAAUUUUGAUCUUGCUUUGGUCCGGUAUUUCCUCACUAUGAAGUUUUGAAAUGGUAAUGUAUAUCAUGUGAUGUUGGAGCUUGGACCCCCAAGUGGAACAUGCCUCCAUUGUUUGUGAGUUCUGUCUCAGCUCAGAGUGGAUGAGCACACAGUCCCAGGGGAGCAAGGAUGUGUGCAGCAGAAACUAGUGUUAGCCACUCUUGUUCAUCUAGGUGGAUCAUCUCCAGAGACUGAAGAUAUCAGCAGAGCCUAGGAUAUCUGGGUGGCUCCUUCUCCUUCUGCUCCCAGCCCCAAAUCUAACCCUUCAAUAAAGUAGCAGAAGGAAACUGCCACAGGAAGCCUAGCUUGAGCAUAUAUGAGAUCUCAAAGCCCGCCUUCACAGUGACACACUUCCUCCACCAAGACUACACCGACUCCAACAAGGCCACACCUCCAAAUAUCACCAUUCCCAUGUGCCAAGCAUUCUAACACAUAUGUCUGUGGGGAAUAUUCCUAUUCAAACCACCACCCAUUCUCUUGACCUCUUGGUCUGUGGCUCCUCUCUUGUUCUGCUUGCCCCUCCUUAUCUUCCUCUCUUACCCAUCUCUCCAUGACCCAGUUCAGUCUGAACUCUGUCAGUUGUCUCUGGCUAUUUUCCCCCUCAUAUCUAUGAUAAAACCAUCUCCUCAACCAUAUCUAGAAGUGGCCAUGUCCUCAUUUUUCAUUUACAGACAAGUUUCGUUUUGUUCUUGAGAGCAAAGACAGUUCAGUAUGGUUGGAACUGGAGAGAAGUUAAAUGUAGGAAAGAUGGAGGAAGGAGAGUAGAUGAGGCUGGAGACAGAGGCAGGGAGGACUCAAAUGCAGUGGCCAAGGCUGGGGAAAGGUGGGUUUCAGGAGUGCAUAGCUGAGGUCAAACUGGAUUAGGUAUAACAUGGGGUUGGAAGUAGAAUGUUUGAGUGAGAAUUCAUGAAGAGAAAGAACAAUACUUACAAGUUCAAAAUAAGGAGAUUAAAGGACACAGAUAAGUCCUAUUUUGUACCUGUUGGGUUUGAGUUGUCUUUAUUGUAAUAUCCAUCAAGGAUGUGCAACCAUGCAUAAAGAUCUGGACCAGAGAUUUGAAGUUUAGGGAUCAUAAAUUUGUUGGUGUUGCUCUGGGAUAGACUUUUGUAAGAAGAGAAUUAAACACAACAAGCAAAACCCAAAGCUAUAUAGGGAUAGUGACAUAAAAAUUAUCUAGAAUUCUUAGGCAUACUUGUGAGGAGCCAAAAGUUAGGUAAAAAGUAAUAUAAUUUAUGAUUUUGAAAAUUACCUGUAGCCUCCCCCAGCCUUGAGCAGGCUGGCUCAGACCUGUUCUGCCACUGUGAAUGAGACCACCUAGGGUGGAGUCUUCCGACCUAGAUAGGUCUAUUGUUCUGCCACCUGUGCUCCUCUCCAAGAUGCUGGUACUUCUGAGAGGCUGAAACCUGUCUUCCUGAGAUAAGCAACACCCUGGACCAAGUGCUAACAGGCUGUAGACAAAGUAUCAAGAGCCUGGCGUGGCGGAGAUGGGCCUUCCCCCUUUAUAAGCUUAGACUCUUAAGUAAACAUUGUGCCUUGAUCAG
rnacentral:lncRNA from 1 species